rnacentral:rRNA from 1 species
AUUGAACGCUGGCGGCAUGCCUUACACAUGCAAGUCGAACGGUAACAGGUCUUCGGAUGCUGACGAGUGGCGAACGGGUGAGUAAUACAUCGGAACGUGCCUAGUAGUGGGGGAUAACUACUCGAAAGAGUGGCUAAUACCGCAUGAGAUCUACGGAUGAAAGCAGGGGAUCGCAAGACCUUGUGCUACUAGAGCGGCCGAUGGCAGAUUAGGUAGUUGGUGGGAUAAAAGCUUACCAAGCCGACGAGCUGUAGCUGGUCUGAGAGGACGAUCAGCCACACUGGGACUGAGACACGGCCCAGACUCCUACGGAAGGCAGCAGUGGGGAAUUUUGGACAAUGGGCGCAAGCCUGAUCCAGCAAUGCCGCGUGCAGAAUGAAGGCCUUCGGGUUGUAAACUGCUUUUGUACGGAACGAAAAGCCCUGGGUUAAUACCCUGGGGUCAUGACGGUACCGUAAGAAUAAGCACCGGCUAACUACGUGCCAGCCGCCGCGGUAAUAC